rnacentral:rRNA from 1 species
AGCUCGUGUCGUGAGAUGUUGGGUUAAGUCCGCAACGAGCGCAACCCUUGUCAUUAGUUGCAUCAUUUGGUUGGGCACUCUAAAUGAGACUGCCGGUGACAAACCGGAGGAAGGUGGGGAUGACGUCAAGUCCUCAUGGCCCUUAUGGGUAGGGCUUCACACGUCAUACAAUGGUCGGUACAGAGGGUUGCCAACCCGCGAGGGGGAGCUAAUCCCACAAAGCCGAUCGUAGUCCGGAUCGCAGUCUGCAACUCGACUGCGUGAAGUCGAAAUCGCUAGUAAUCGUGGAUCAGCAUGUCACGGUGAAUACGUUCCCGGGUCUU